UGAUAUUGGGCAGGUGGCAGGUGGAUGGGAUGUGGGGGGCGCUGACGGGGGGCAGGUGGCAGGUGAAUGGGAUGUG